CCGAGAUUCCGAAAGUAGCGGCGAGCGAAAUUGGACUAGCCCUUAAGCUUUACACGCGUUAGACGAACGGUCUGGAAAGUCCGACGAUACAGGGUGAUAGUCCCGUAGUUGACGACGUGUGUUCAGUGAAAUCGAGUAGGGCGGGACACGUGAUAUCCUGUCUGAAUAUGGGGGGACCAUCCUCCAAGGCUAAAUACUACUGACUGACCGAUAGUGAACCAGUACCGUGAGGGAAAGGCGAAAAGAACCCCUGUGAGGGGAG
rnacentral:rRNA from 1 species